rnacentral:rRNA from 1 species
AUUGAACGCUGGCGGCAUGCUUUACACAUGCAAGUCGAACGGUAACAGGUUAAGCUGACGAGUGGCGAACGGGUGAGUAAUGCACCGGAACGUGCCCGGUCGGGGGGGAUAACGCAGCGAAAGCUGCGCUAAUACCGCAUACGAUCUAAGGAUGAAAGCGGGGGACCGGAAGGCCUCGCGCGAUCGGAGCGGCCGAUGUCAGAUUAGGUAGUUGGUGGGGUAAAGGCUCACCAAGCCAACGAUCUGUAGCUGUUCUGAGAGGACGACCAGCCACACUGGGACUGAGACACGGCCCAGACUCCUACGGGAGGCAGCAGUGGGGAAUUUUGGACAAUGGGCGAAAGCCUGAUCCAGCAAUGCCGCGUGCAGGAAGAAGGCCUUCGGGUUGUAAACUGCUUUUGUACGGAGCGAAAAGGUCUCCUCUAAUACAGGGGGCUCAUGACGGUACCGCAAGAAUAAGCACCGGCUAACUACGUGCCAGCCGCCGCGGUAA